GAGGUAAGUCAUUUGAUCAAGCAGUAACAAACAAUAGCAAUGUUUUUGAACAAAACGAACAAUAAUAAUAACCUGCCAUUUCAUUACAUGAUCAUAAUAAUCACUCUGCAUAAAUAACAGCAUCCAGUAAUUAAUAUAGCUUUUAUAUUUUAUUAAAAAAACACUGAUAUCUUUUAGAAAGCUUGUAACACUCGGCCCAAUUGAGCUAAUGGAGAAAAAGAAAAAAGAAAAAGAAGAGGCGGACUCUAGAUGGGAGUCGCCUUCUUCUCUAACUCCGUGUAGGAGUCCAACCCCGGCAGGGCUCCCUUACCUCCGCCCCUAUUAAUUCCAUCAAACAGCUUCUCUUUGAUUUUCACCAUUGACUCCAAGCCCUCAAGGCCGGAAAUCUCCGGAGUCUCUUCUUCUACUUCCAGAAGAUUGUCAUCGUGCCAACCACGAAACCACACCGGAGACAAGAUGUUGAAGGAAGAGAUCAAGGUAGAAGAAAGCAAGGUGGAGGGAGUCCAAGCUGCAGCCACUAGUGAAUCUCAGGAAUCCUAUUGUCUAAUUGAUUGUGAAUGUUGAAUCUCAAUUGUAGAACCAGUCAUGAAUCUAGUUUAUUAUCUAAUGAAUUGGAUCAUCUAGUCAAUAGUAUGUAAAGUCAUAAGCAGUGUGACCUUUUUUAAAAGAGAAGUUUGAUAUUUAUUAAAGUGAAUGUAUAAUAUUUUGACA